CAUUCGCACGCAUCCAAACUGCAUCACUGUGAAUUACUUUGGUGAGCUCCUGGGUGGGGGUGGAGAUCGCAUCGAACCCUCCAUGCAGCAGCUCAAGGGUAACAGGUCUUAGGGGGGUCAGCGAGGUCAAUUGCAUUGCACUUCCUGGCCUGCCCUUUGGCCCUGUUACCAUCACUUCCUGCAUUGGGAUCUUAAACCUACAUCUCUCUCAAGUGGAUUUCCACUUUACUCACUUACAACUUUCAGCGACGGAUGUCUCGGCUCGAACAACGAUGAAGGGCGCAGCGAAGUGUGAUAAGCAUUGUGAAUUGCAGAAUUCCGUGAACCAAUAGGGAUUUGAACGUACACUGCGCUUUCGGGAUAUCCCUGAAAGCAUGCCUGCUUCAGUGUCUAUUCCAUCUAAUGCCAAUGGCCAACUCCUCCUAGCAGGGGUUAGCUGUUUGUGCGUAUCUGUGUGUUGGGGCGUGUUUUUUAACACCUCCGACGCAUCUAGUGCAUGGGGCUUCUUCACAGUGCACAACUUACAAAGCAUCUCUGGUGCCUUUUGUUGCUGCAUCUGUUGCAGAGGGCUCUUCCAUUCCUGGUCCUUGUGACUUUCUUCCAAGACAUGAAGUCAGGUCAGCAAACCCGCUGAAUUUAA
rnacentral:rRNA from 1 species